rnacentral:rRNA from 1 species
CCUACGGGAGGCAGCAGUGAGGAAUAUUGGUCAAUGGGCGCUAGCCUGAACCAGCCAAGUAGCGUGAAGGAUGACUGCCCUAUGGGUUGUAAACUUCUUUUUUAUGGGAGUAAAUUGCAGUAUGUAUACUGUUUGCACUGUCCCUUAUGAAUAAGGAUCGGCUAACUCCGUGCCAGCAGCCGCGGUAAUACGUAGGUGGCAAGCGUUGUCCGGAUUUAUUGGGCGUAAAGCGAGCGCAGGCGGUUCAAUAAGUUAGAUGUGAAAUCCUACGGCUUAACUGGAGAAUUGCAUCUGAAACUGUUGAUCUAGAGUGUAGAAGAGGUGGGUGGAACGUAUGGUGUAGCGGUGAAAUGCAUAGAGAUCAUGCAGAACACCGAUUGCGAAGGCAGCGUACCAGCGCACAACUGACGCUGAUGCACGAAAGCGUGGGUAGCAAACAGGAUUAGAUACCCUAGUAGUC